AGUGGCGCACGGGUGCGUAACGCGUGGGAAUCUGCCCUUAGGUACGGAAUAACUCAGAGAAAUUUGUGCUAAUACCGUAUGAUGUCGAAAGACCAAAGAUUUAUCGCCUAAGGAUGAGCCCGCGUAAGAUUAGUUUGUUGGUGAGGUAAAAGCUCACCAAGGCGACGAUCUUUAGCUGGUCUGAGAGGAUGAUCAGCCACACUGGGACUGAGACACGGCCCAGACUCCUACGGGAGGCAGCAGUGGGGAAUAUUGGACAAUGGGCGAAAGCCUGAUCCAGCAAUGCCGCGUGAGUGAUGAAGGCCUUAGGGUUGUAAAGCUCUUUUACCAGGGAUGAUAAUGACAGUACCUGGAGAAUAAGCUCCGGCUAACUCCGUGCCAGCAGCCGCGGUAAUACGGAGGGAGCUAGCGUUGUUCGGAAUUACUGGGCGUAAAGAGUACGUAGGCGGUGAUUCAAGUCAGAGGUGAAAGCCUGGAGCUCAACUCCAGAACUGCCUUUGAAACUAGAUCGCUAGAAUUAUGGAGAGGUUAGUGGAAUUCCGAGUGUAGAGGUGAAAUUCGUAGAUAUUCGGAAGAACACCAGUGGCGAAGGCGACUAACUGGACAUAUAUUGACGCUGAGGUACGAAAGCGUGGGGAGCAAACAGGAUUAGAUACCCUGGUAGUCCACGCCGUAAACGAUGAUAACUAGCUGUUCGGGGUCUACGAUCUUGAGUGGCGCAGCUAACGCAUUAAGUUAUCCGCCUGGGGAGUACGGUCGCAAGAUUAAAACUCAAAGGAAUUGACGGGGGCCUGCACAAGCGGUGGAGCAUGUGG
rnacentral:rRNA from 1 species